CCUACGGGGGGCAGCAGUGGGGAAUCUUGCACAAUGGAGGAAACUCUGAUGCAGCGAUGCCGCGUGAGUGAAGAAGGCCUUUGGGUUGUAAAGCUCUUUCGUCGGGGAAGAAAAUGACUGUACCCGAAUAAGAAGGUCCGGCUAACUUCGUGCCAGCAGCCGCGGUAAUACGAAGGGACCUAGCGUAGUUCGGAAUUACUGGGCUUAAAGAGUUCGUAGGUGGUUGAAAAAGUUGGUGGUGAAAUCCCAGAGCUUAACUCUGGAACUGCCAUCAAAACUUUUCAGCUAGAGUAUGAUAGAGGAAAGCAGAAUUUCUAGUGUAGAGGUGAAAUUCGUAGAUAUUAGAAAGAAUACCAAUUGCGAAGGCAGCUUUCUGGAUCAUUACUGACACUGAGGAACGAAAGCAUGGGUAGCGAAGAGGAUUAGAUACCCUCGUAGUCCAUGCCGUAAACGAUGUGUGUUAGACGUUGGAAAUUUAUUUUCAGUGUCGCAGGGAAACCGAUAAACACACCGCCUGGGGAGUACGACCGCAAGGUUAAAACUCAAAUGAAUUGACGGGGACCCGCACAAGUAGUGGAGCAUGUGGUUUAAUUCGAAGAUACGCGCAGAACCUUACCAACACUUGACAUGUUCGUCGCGACUCUAAGAGAUUAGAGUUUUCGGUUCGGCCGGACGAAACACAGGUGCUGCAUGGCUGUCGUCAGCUCGUGUCGUGAGAUGUUGGGUUAAGUCCCGCAACGAGCGCAACCCUCACUUUUAGUUGCCAUCAUUAAGUUGGGCACUCUGAAAGAACUGCCAGUGAUAAGCUGGAGGAAGGUGGGGAUGACGUCAAGUCCUCAUGGCCCUUACGUGUUGGGCUACACACGUGCUACAAUGGCAUCUACAACAGGAAGCAAAACGGCAACGUUAAGCAAAUCCCGAAAAGAUGCCUCAGUUCGGAUUGCACUCUGCAACUCGAGUGCAUGAAGCUGGAAUUACUAGUAAUCGUGGAUCAGCGUGCCACGGUGAAUGCGUUCCCGGGUCUUGUACACACCGCCCGUC
rnacentral:rRNA from 1 species